rnacentral:rRNA from 1 species
GACGAACGCUGGCGGCGUGCUUAACACAUGCAAGUCGAACGGAAAGUCCCUGCUUUUGUGGGGUGCUCGAGUGGCGAACGGGUUAGUAACACGUGAGUAACCUGCCCUUGACUUUGGGAUAACUUCAGGCAACUGGGGCUAAUACCGGAUAGGAGCUCCUGCUGCAUGGUGGGUGUUGGAACGUUUCGGCGGUUGGGGAUGGACUCGCGGCUUAUCAGCUUGUUGGUGGGGUAGUGGCUUACCAAGGCUUUGACGGGUAGCCGGCCUGAGAGGGUGACCGGCCACAUUGGGACUGAGAUAGGGGCCAGACUCCUACGGGAGGCAGCAGGGGGGAAUGUUGCACAAUGGGCGGAAGCCUGAUGCAGCAACGCCGGGUGCGGGAUGAGGGCCUGCGGGUGGUAAACCGCGUUCGCGUGUGACGAAGCGUGAGUGACGGUAAUGGGUAAAGAAGCACCGGCUAACUAGGUG